rnacentral:rRNA from 1 species
GCGGAGGCAGCAGUGGGGAAUUUUGGACAAUGGGGGCAACCCUGAUCCAGCCAUGCCGCGUGAGUGAAGAAGGCCUUCGGGUUGUAAAGCUCUUUCGGCCGGGAAAAAAUCGCAUGGGCUAAUACCCUGUGUGGAUGAUGGUACCGGAAUAAGAAGCACCGGCUAACUACGUGCCAGCAGCCGCGGUAAUACGUAGGGUGCGAGCGUUAAUCGGAAUUACUGGGCGUAAAGCGUGCGCAGGCGGUUUUUUAAGACAGGCGUGAAAUCCCCGGGCUCAACCUGGGAACUGCGCUUGUGACUGGAAGGCUAGAGUACGGCAGAGGGGGGUGGAAUUCCACGUGUAGCAGUGAAAUGCGUAGAGAUGUGGAGGAACACCAAUGGCGAAGGCAGCCCCCUGGGUCGAUACUGACGCUCAUGCACGAAAGCGUGGGGAGCAAACAGGAUUAGAUACCCGUGU